rnacentral:tRNA from 3 species
GCGGGAUUAGUAUAGCGGUAGUACGUUUGCUUCCCAAGCAAGAGGUACGAGUUCGACUCUCGUAUCCCGCACCA